CCUACGGGAGGCAGCAGUGAGGAAUAUUGGUCAAUGGGCUUACGCCUGAACCAGCCAAGUCGCGUGAGGGAAGACGGUCCUAUGGAUUGUAAACCUCUUUUGUAGGGGAGCAAAAGACGCCACGCGUGGCGUUCCGAGAGUACCCGAAGAAAACGCAUCGGCUAAUUCCGUGCCAGCAGCAGCGGUAAUACGGAGGAUGUGAGCGUUAUCAGGAGUUAUUGGGUUUAAUGGGUAGGUAGGCGGAAUAUCAAGUCAGCGGUAAAAAUUCGGGGCUCAACUCCGUCGUGCCGUUGAAACUGAUGUUCUGGAGUGGGCGAGAAGUAUGCGGAAUGCGUGGUGUAGCGGUGAAAUGCAUAGAUAUCACGCAGAACUCCGAUUGCGAAGGCAGCAUACCGGCGCCCAACUGACGCUGAAGCACGAAAGCGUGGGUAUCGAACAGGAUUAGAUACCCGAGUAGUC
rnacentral:rRNA from 1 species